AUUCACUUAUCAGAAGCGCUAUUUGUGCUCUUGCAGUUCCUGGCCCUAAAGCACCUGGUGGCUUCCAUGAUGCUCCUGCCUUCUUCCACCCCCAGAACACACACACCUGCCAUCUAACCUCUCACUACAGGGGAAAAACUGAGAACCAACAUGCUUGGUCCAAUGUUUGCCAUGGGCAAUACAUGAAGACUACAUCCAUCAAGUGCUCAGAACAUAGAAGUUUUGUGCUGGCUCUGGAACUUUCCUACAAACAGCUGGAAGGGGGCAGUGCUCAGGAGCUCUGGAGAUGCCAAAGAGCACAUGGAGGCCGACCACGACUGACAACAAGCCACGACAGGGAACAGCCACACCUGUAAAGACUGUAUUCUAGUGAACCUAUGGAAAGAGCAUCACCUCCAUGACAGCUGAAAAUAAUUUUAGAAGACAAUGGCCCCUUCUCCCAACAAAGUUUGUCCUCAGGAUUAAGGACAUCAUUUAGGAAUUGAUUAUUACUGGUAUACGGUUUGGGGUUGGAGUGAAAAUUAUGUAGGCUCAGAGAUCUCUUUGAAAAAAAGGGAGAAUUGAAUGGGAUAACAGGUAGAUUCGUAUGUAAUAAUAAUAAUAGUAACAGAGUGAAUAUUUGUGAGCUAUUAUUUAUAGACAAUUUACGUUAAUAUAAAUUCUUGUAUAUUGCUACAAAUUCAAAUUAUAUCUGUUAUAUUGAAUAUGUUCCUAUUUCUAUUUACAAUAUUUGUACACCUAUGCAAAGUUAUUUUGUCAGUUUGUAUGCAUGCUUGUUUCUACCUCUAUUUAAGACAGUUUGUAUAUUGGUACAAUUUUAGUAUAUAUUUAGCAUACUGUAUUAUACAUUUCUACCUCUGAUCAAGAUACUUAGACAUUGUUUACAUUUUCAGGCCAUUGUCCUUGUUUGCUGCACAGUUGUUUAAAGAUUGUUUAAUAUUCCAAUAUGAAGUCUUAGUCUUUAAGUAUUAUAGGUUAAUAGUCAUUCAUGUUUAUAAUAUUUAUGGUUAGAAUAAUCAGAUUCUUUAGAUACAUAAAGCUUGUAUUUUGCCUAGAUAGUUAAUCUUCAACCACUUCAAAGAACUGUAGAAUAUGUCAUUUAAAUAACUUAGGGGGUCUGUUGAUAUGAAACAC